UUGACUUAGAGAGGGCAAACAGUCCUUCCAGACACGUCACCGGCCUAGGACUGAUUUCAUUCUCUUGCUGGGAAGGGCUGAUAACAUCUUGCGAUUAAAUUUGCGUGUUAGCACAGCCUUUACAAAGAACUGAAAUGUGCCACUGAGUGUCAUUUAGACUCAGUCAAGCUGGAUUUUAUAAAGAAGAAUGUGUUGGAGGAGAGCAAUAUGGCUGUGAGUGUCAUGUCACCAUCAAACAACACUGGAGCCUAACCAUUCACCCUGAGCUAACGUCUGUGCCACUCCUUCUCCACUUUGCAUGUGGGACA